rnacentral:sRNA from 1 species
UGGAUUCAAAGGACAAUAUUCUUUUUCAUAGGUAAUUUCUCACUAUCAGUGUAAAGAGCAGCGUGAUGCCCAUAGAUUUGAGAAAAUAAGCAACAUUAUUAAGCAGUUCAAGCUGAGCUGCAGCAAGCUGGCUGCCUCUUUCCAGAGUAUGGAAGUCAGGAACUCUAACUUCGCUGCUUUCAUUGACAUCUUUACAUCCAACACUUAUGUGAUGGUUGUGAUGUCUGAUCCGUCCAUUCCUUCUGCAGCUACUCUGAUCAACAUCCGCAAUGCCAGGAAACACUUUGAAAAGCUGGAAAGAGUGGAUGGACCAAAGCAGUGUCUUCUCAUGCGCUAAACAUUGAUGAAUAUUGUUUCACACAAAAAUGAAAAGUUU